rnacentral:sRNA from 1 species
UUGAGACAUCAGAAGCACGACUGACAGC